AUUUGGUGGAUUUUAUGUUCCUUGAUCCGAACCAAGCGACCGAACCUAAGGACAUGAUUUGGUGGAUUUUAUGUUCCUUGAUCCGAACCAAGCGGCCGAACCUAAGGACAUCAUUUCAUAUGUGAGAAGAGAGAGUUCCUUGAUCCGAACCAAGCGACCGAAACUAAGGACAAUAUUUCAUAUGUGAGAACAAAGAACUCCUUGAUCCGAACCAAGCGGACGAAACUAAAGACAAUAUAUCAUAUGUGAGAAGAGAGAGUUUCUUGAUCCGAACCAAGCGGCCGAAACUAAGAACAAUAUUUCAUAUGUGAGAAGAGAGAACUCCUUGAUCCGAACCAAGCGGCCGAAACUAAGGGCAUGAGGGCAACAUAGUAUCUCACCUUCUCACCUCCUUGGGGCAAACCGAGUUUCCUCUCCUAACUACUUUGUGUUCGUGUGUAUUGGGUGUAUGACUUUCUAGUGGCAGGGUCGGUGAAUGGAUGCUGGAGCCAAGUGCAAAAUGAGUCC
rnacentral:lncRNA from 1 species